CUUCAAUGCCCACCGAUUCUUCUCUCGCGCAUCAGGCGAUUGUUCUCAGGAAGGAAUCUCUCGCUCUCCCUCUCCUUCCCUCUCUCUCUCUCUCUCUCUCUCUCUCUCUGCGAGCCGAAGCUCGGAAGCGGAAGACGGCAAUGUCCCACUUCGGGAGAUCAGGUCCGCCGGACAUCACCGACACCUACUCCCUCCUCGUCCUCAACAUCACCUUCCGUACGACCGCUGAUGAUCUGUUUCCGCUCUUCGACAAGUACGGGAAGGUCGUCGACAUCUUCAUCCCUAGGGAUCGCAGGACGGGUGAGUCACGAGGUUUUGCAUUCGUUCGCUACAAGUAUGCUGAUGAGGCUCAGAAGGCUGUGGAAAAGCUUGACGGAAGAGUUGUUGAUGGCCGAGAAAUCACAGUGCAGUUUGCGAAAUAUGGGCCUAAUGCUGAGAGGAUUCAUAAAGGGCGGAUAAGUGAAAACCUUCCAAGAUCAAGGAUCAGAUCAAGAAGUCGCAGCCCUCGGAGGAGGUAUCGAGAUGACUACAGGGACAGGGAUAGGAGGAGAAGUCGCAGCAGAAGUAAGGAUAGGUAUGAUCGUGAUAGGCAUCGUGGGAGGGACAGAGAUGAUCGUCGGCGGAGCAGAAGCCGUAGUGCAAGUCCUGAUUACUACAAAAGUCGGGGUAGAGGCCGCUAUGAUGAUGAGCGCAGGAGCCGGAGUCGCUCAAUGGAUAGGUUCUGUCAUGAUGAUCUUCUUCGUGCUUUGCACAGUUUGAUCUGCCGUUUUACUGAUUUUUCUUUGUUUCUGUUUCCUCUCAUAGUGCUUCCCCUCGGCGCAGUCCACCUCCUCGCCACAGUGCCAGCCCUGGAAGGAGUCCUUCUCCACGCAGGUCUCUCUCUCCUCGGGGUGAAAGCCCUGAUAGACGCAGUCAUGAUGGACGAUCUCCGGUUCGAAGUGUUUCACCCCGAGGUCGACGAUCUGAUUCUCGAAGUCUGUCACCUAGGAAUUCAGACGCUGACGAAUAAGUGUUCUGGAAAGCGUUGAGCAGAUGGGGAAUGCCUGGCUCUUUAAAAAUCUCUUUUCUGCGGCUCCAACUGUUGAACCUUGAUAUGGUCGUUGUUAUCGGAACUUAAGUGCUGCUUUUGGUAGAACUGGAUCUUUUAGUUAUGCUGGGGAAGCUGAGUGAUGGGCGUGAUUUGUUGAUACUGUUGCUGUUGAUUCACAUAAUUGAUCGUUGGUGGAUGAUCGAGAUUUUGGUGAUGGUUGCAUCAAAUUGGCUGAUAUAGCAGUAAAUAAGAGGGCAGGACAAUAGCUAAUGUUGGCUAGAUGUUCCCAUAUGGUAAGGUCUAUCGCCAUUAAUCUUCAUUUUUAGGAAAUUUAAUGUCCUUGCAGAUGCUGAUUCUCGACUUGAUUGUUGCGAUGGUUGAUGCUGAUUCCGUUCGUAAUGAAUGAACCUGUGAGUUUGCUGUGAUGGUCUGAGGUGGCCAACGAGUGAAAAUGCUUGAUCUGUGGCAGUUGCUGAAUCUGGGCUUUGUCGAUUCAUUAAUCUCGUUGCCGAUGCUUAGUAAGAAUGGCUUUUGCUGAUCUCUUUCCAGCCACACUGUAGGAAAUGGUAACAUCUUUAUAGUUGGUUAUGCUGUCCGGGAUUUUUCUUUCCCUUCACUAAACCACCUUUAAUUCAGCUUGGAGGGAUUGUAACUUCUGUUGCUUAAUGUAGUGAGGUGUAGACUGGUUCGGUGAUUGUAGCAGUUGAAGUGGUAGCUGCUUUGUUAAUGGUUAUACGUGUUCGUGCAUAACUUUCGGGCCUUAAGAUAAAAACAACCGUAGCGGGCUGUUGCUGCCCUUGCUGGGAUCGGGUCAGAAGCAGCAGCUAUUAUUGAGGAUGAUCGCUUCGUAGCUGGUCUUGAUGGCUUGUGGUCAAUCAAUUAUGAAGUGAUUUUGUUGAGCGCUGACAAGUAUGUUUUGUCUGCAACAGAGAGGUUUAUCUUAUGGUUAAUGAUAUCGCAAAUUUCACAUUAACAUAACUGGCAGUUUUUUUUUGGCAAACUAAUCAACUGUUUUUUUUGUUUCAUGAGUUAGUCGUUGUAUACAAGGGGAGCAUAUAAAACUUAUGACGUGCUUUUCUAUAACUUAUUCCACAGGUGCGCUUGUAAAGCUGUUGAUAAUGCAUAAUGACAAAAAUUUGUUUCUUUU